CACCACCUCCACCUCCACCCCCUUUUGGACUAGGUGUCACUGGGACAUCAUCAUCCCCACCACCAUUGCCUCCACCUCUGCCUCCUGCACCUCCUCCGCCACUGCCUCCACCUCCACCGCCAUUUGGACUAGGGACAUAAUCAUCCCCACCACCGUUGCCACCACCUCCACUGCCUCCACCUCUGCCGCCUCCACCUUCGCCGCCACUGCCUCCACCUCU
rnacentral:misc_RNA from 1 species